rnacentral:lncRNA from 1 species
GAAGUUUUAUUUGUAAUUGCCAAAACUUGGAUUGACCUUGGUCUUGUUGGCCUGCACUGUGGUCCUUCCUCCAUCCCAUCCCAUUUCCCCCUCCCUUUCACAGUAAUCAUGCCAUAGGUUUUCAGUCGGUAUUUAGGGAUGAGGUUGGACCUUUUAGAUUUCAGGUUGAGACAAAAAGACUGAAGGUUGCUAGUCAGUUGUUUUCCACCUGUCCAUGGUUGGUUUGGGUUUGCUGCAUAACUGAUCCAUUGACUUCUGUGGUGAUUGGCUGUGGGAUGGAACCAGCUAGACCAUGAGCAACCCCACAGCUGUGCCACUAGGAAGGCCUCAGAGAAAUUGCCUGUGCCUGUGAAGACGGGAAGCAGAUAUUGGCCAGGCACGGUGGCGCACGCCUGUAAUCCCAGCACUUUGGGAGGCCGAGGCAGGCGGAUCACCUGAGGUUGGGAGUUCGAGACCAGCCUGACCAACAUGGAAAAACCCCAUCUCUACUAAAAAGACAGAAUUAGCUGGGUGUGGUGGCGCACGCCUGUGUGUAGUCCCAGCUACUCGAGAAGCUGAGCAGAAGAAUUGCUUGAACCCGGGAGGCGGAGUUUGUGGUGAGCCGAGAUUGCGCCAUUGCAUGUGAGCCUGGGCAACAAGAGUGAAAUUCCGUCUCAAAAAAAAAAAAAACAAAAAAGAAAGAUAAAAGCAGAUAUUGAUCUGGGCCAGUGAAUCUCCAUAGUGGCAAAGCUUGAGGGAGUCUCCAUCUUCCUUCCUCAGGGACCUGCGGAGCUUCUGGCUCUUGGAUCAGCUGUGGGGCUUUCAUCAAUAUUUCUGUGUGGGGAUAUCCAUGUGGCCUUGGCACUAAUGGUAUACCAUCAAGUACCCCAGCGAACAUCCACACCCACCCACGGACUGGAAGCUGUCAGAGGCAAGGCUGGCCCACACCAUUGUUUGCACGACUGGUGUCCACAUAUACCCACUGCCUGUGUGCCGAGCUGAAGAACUGGGCCCCCCGGAGCUUCAUCACUGGCCACAUCACUCCGAGGCUCUGUUUCUCCAUCUGUCAAAUGAUCAUGAUGACAUCUACCCCCCAGAGUGGCUGUGAGAAUAAAGUCAGAUCAUGAGUAUGAAGAUGGCUAGUACAGUGUGUAUGUGUGUGUGUGUGUGUGUGUGUGUGUGUGUGUGAGAGAGAGAGAGAGAGAGAGAAGAGUGGAGGAGAGAGAAAAACUGGGGCAAGCCUGGACUGUGGAGGGCCAGGUGCCGUGAGCCUCCAGCACUUU